AUUGAACGCUGGCGGCAGGCCUAACACAUGCAAGUCGAACGAGUGGCGGACGGGUGAGUAGUGUCUGGGAAACUGCCUGAUGGAGGGGGAUAACUACUGGAAACGGUAGCUAAUACCGCAUACCAUCAGUUUGACCCAGAUGGGAUUAGCUGGUUGGUGGGGUAACGGCUCACAAAGGCGACGAUCCCUAGCGGGUCCGAGAGGAUGACCAGCCACACUGGAACGGAGAAACGGUCCAGACUCCUAGGGAAGGAAGCAGUGGGAAAUAUUGGACAAGGGGGGCAAGCCUGAUGCAGCCAGGCGGCGUGUAUGAAGAAGGUCUUCGGGUGGUAAGGUACGUUCAGCGGGGAGGCGUUACCCGCAGAAGAAGCGCCGGCUAACUCCGUGCCAGCAGCCGCGGUAAUUC
rnacentral:rRNA from 1 species